rnacentral:rRNA from 1 species
UACGGAGGAUGCGAGCGUUAUCCGGAUUUAUUGGGUUUAAAGGGUGCGUAGGCGGAUUUUUAAGUCAGCGGUAAAAUGUCCGGGCUCAACCCGGGCCGGCCGUUGAAACUGGGGAUCUUGAGUGGGCGAGAAGUAUGCGGAAUGCGUGGUGUAGCGGUGAAAUGCGUAGAUAUCAGGAGGAAUACCGUUAGCGAAGGCGGCAAUCUGGCUGGAAACUGACGCUGAGGUGCGAAAGCGUGGGUAGCAAACAGG